AUUGAACGCUGGCGGCAGGCCUAACACAUGCAAGUCGAGCGGAUGAAGGGAGCUUGCUCCUGGAUUCAGCGGCGGACGGGUGAGUAAUGCCUAGGAAUCUGCCUGGUAGUGGGGGAUAACGUCCGGAAACGGGCGCUAAUACCGCAUACGUCCUGAGGGAGAAAGUGGGGGAUCUUCGGACCUCACGCUAUCAGAUGAGCCUAGGUCGGAUUAGCUAGUUGGUGGGGUAAAGGCCUACCAAGGCGACGAUCCGUAAAUGGUCUGAGAGGAUGAUCAGUCACACUGGAACUGAGACACGGUCCAGACUCCUACGGGAGGCAGCAGUGGGGAAUAUUGGACAAUGGGCUAAAGCCUGAUCCAGCCAUGCCGCGUGUGUGAAGAAGGUCUUCGGAUUUUAAAGCACUUUAAGUUGGGAGGAAGGGCAGUAAGUUAAUACCUUGCUGUUUUGACGUUACCAACAGAAUAAGCACCGGCUAACUUCGUG
rnacentral:rRNA from 1 species